rnacentral:rRNA from 1 species
AUUGAACGCUGGCGGCAGGCCUAACACAUGCAAGUCGAGCGGAUGAAGGGAGCUUGCUCCUGGAUUCAGCGGCGGACGGGUGAGUAAUGCCUAGGAAUCUGCCUGGUAGUGGGGGAUAACGUCCGGAUACGGGCGCUAAUACCGCAUACGUCCUGAGGGAGAAAGUGGGGGAUCUUCGGACCUCACGCUAACAGAUGAGCCUAGGUCGGAUUAGCUAGUUGGUGGGGUAAAGGCCUACCAAGGCGACGAUCCGUAACUGGUCUGAGAGGAUGAUCAGUCACACGGGAAGUGAGACACGGCCCAGACUCUGACGGGAGGCAGCAGUGGGGAAUAUUGGACGAUGGGCGAAAGCCUGAUCCAGCCAUGCCGCGUGUGUGAAGAAGGUCUUCGGAUUGUAAAGCACUUUAAGUUGGGAGGAAGGGCAGUAAGUUAAUACCUUGCUGUUUUGACGUUACCAACAGAAUAAGCACCGGCUAACUUCGUG